rnacentral:snoRNA from 13 species
CUAAAUAUGAUGAGCCUGUUAUCGCCCCAGUCUGAUUGUUGGUGACUGAAACGGUAACCUCUGAUUCA